GACGAACGCUGGCGGCGUGCCUAAUACAUGCAAGUCGAACGAACGGAUUGAGGAGCUUGCUCUUCAUGAAGUUAGUGGCGGACGGGUGAGUAACACUUAGGAAUCUACCUAGUAGUGGGGGAUAGCUCGGGGAAACUCGAAUUAAUACCGCAUACGACCUACGGGAGAAAGGGGCGAGUUUACUGCUCUCGCUAUUAGAUGAGCCUAAGUCGGAUUAGCUAGAUGGUGGGGUAAAGGCCUACCAUGGCGACGAUCUGUAGCUGGUCUGAGAGGAUGAUCAGCCACACCGGGACUGAGACACGGCCCGG
rnacentral:rRNA from 1 species